rnacentral:rRNA from 1 species
CCUACGGGUGGCAGCAGUGAGGAAUAUUGGUCAAUGGGCGUAAGCCUGAACCAGCCAAGUCGCGUGAGGGAUGAAGGUUCUAUGCAUUGUAAACUUCUUUUAUAAGGGAAUAAAGUGUGGGACGUGUCCUUGUUUGUAUGUACCUUAUGAAUAAGGAUCGGCUCACUCCGUGCCAGCAGCCGCGGUAAUACGGAGGAUCCGAGCGUUAUCCGGAUUUAUUGGGUUUAAAGGGUGCGUAGGCGGCCUUUUAAGUCAGCGGUGAAAGUCUGUGGCUCAACCAUAGAAGUGCCGUUGAAACUGGGAGGCUUGAGUAUGUUUGAGGCAGGCGGAAUGCGUGGUGUAGCGGUGAAAUGCUUAGAUAUCACGCAGAACCCCGAUUGCGAAGGCAGCCUGCCAGG